CUUCACCGAGCCCAGCCACAGGGGACGGUCCUCGGCACGGUCCUGGCCGUAGGUGGCGAGCAGGGCCUGGGCCUC
rnacentral:antisense_RNA from 1 species